GUGGCGCCUCAAAAAGCGUGGCGCGAGAGAAUGUGGAGCGGGGCCCCGUGGCGUGAGCAGCUCGCGAAGUUCGGCGUUUGAGGGAAAAGAGCUUUCUCGCUCGGCGUCCGGCCCAUAGGAGCUACCGCCGCCCGCGAGGGCUGGCGGUCCUGAACCGGGGUGAUCGAGCGUUCGGUUGAGCGGCCACAGGACUACUCCGCCAGCUGCGCACGUGACCCCGUGAAUGUGGCCGUGGGAUCUCGAGCGCAAACCCCGCCGGAGGGCUACCGGGCAAGCGGAGGCUCCAGUACAACGACUGUUGCGCAGGGCCACCUUAGCUCCGCGAGGCGGUCUGACCAUGGGGUCCGACCCUGCUGUCCGACCCUGCUGGCCGACACUGCUGUCCGACCCCGCUGGCCGACAUUGGAUCCACGAGGUCUCCGACACGGCGACACGCGCUUCCGCCUGAAUUGUGUUCGCAGGAAGCAAUACUCGACCGCUUUGUCACAACAUCGAGCUUGACACCGACUGCACAGAUUUAUCACCGGGACCAUUCCGGCGCCACGGAUUAGAUGAUCGCGCUAUAGAAGCUGUCAGGCCGCCGAAUCCGCAAAAUGCAGUUUCCUGGACAACGAGCCUCGGGCGACCUUCGCACAAAUCACCUCGAGCUGCAAAAGAAGUGGAGCAUCAGUCGUUCACUGGGGGCGUGGAACCGGCUCUGCGCCAUUAAUUCACGAGAUUGCUGUGUUUCAUGCAGCAUAGUCUUGGCAAAACCUAUGGCUUUUAUGGCAUUCUUGCAUUGCCGGUUCCACCCACAUUGCUUUUCGCAUCUGUACGUUCUCACAUAAAUAAUAUAACGCGCGUUUAUUGUA